CCUACGGGAGGCAGCAGUGGGGAAUAUUGCACAAUGGGGGAAACCCUGAUGCAGCGACGCCGCGUGAGGGAAGAAGGAUCUCGGUAUGUUAAGCUCUAUCAGUAGGGAAGAAAAUGACGGUACCUGACUAAGAAGCACCGUCUAACUACGUGCCAGAAGCCGCGGUAAUACGUAGGGGGCAAGCGUUAUCCGGAUUUACUGGGUUUAAAGGGAGCGUAGGCGGCUAGUUAAGUCAGAAGUGAAAGCCCAGGGCGCAACCUGGGGACUGCUUUUGAAACUGAGUAGCUAGAGUGCAGGAGAGGUAAGCGGAAUUCCUGGUGUAGCGGUGAAAUGCGUAGAUAUUAGGAGGAACACCAGUGGCGAAGGCGGCUUACUGGACUGUAACUGACGUUGAGGCUCGAAAGCGUGGGGAGCAAACAGGAUUAGAUACCCCAGUAGUC
rnacentral:rRNA from 1 species